rnacentral:tRNA from 2 species
ACUCUAGUAGCUUAAUCCAUUAAAGCAUUGGUCUUGUAAACCAAAGACUGAAGACUACAAUCUUCCUAAAGUA